rnacentral:rRNA from 1 species
GAGUUUGAUCGUGGCUCAGGACGAACGCUGGCUGCGUGCUUAACACAUGCAAGUCGAACGCUGAAGCCUGGUGCUUGCACCGGGUGGAUGAGUGGCGAACGGGUGAGUAACACGUGAGUAACCUGCCCCUGACUUCGGGAUAAGCCCGGGAAACUGGGUCUAAUACCGGAUACGACCGUCGGACGCAUGUCUGGUGGUGGAAAGUUUUUUCGGUUGGGGAUGGGCUCGCGGCCUAUCAGUUUGUUGGUGAGGUAAUGGCUCACCAAGACGACGACGGGUAGCCGGCCUGAGAGGGCGACCGGCCACACUGGGACUGAGACACGGCCCAGACUCCUACGGGAGGCAGCAGUGGGGAAUAUUGCACAAUGGGGGAAACCCUGAUGCAGCGACGCAGCGUGCGGGAUGACGGCCU